rnacentral:rRNA from 1 species
UACGUAGGCAGCGAGCGUUGUUCGGAGUUACUGGGCGUAAAGGGCGCGUAGGCGGUUUGUACAGUCAGGUGUGAAAUUCCCGGGCUCAACCUGGGGGCUGCACUUGAUACGUAUGGACUGGAGUGGGGAAGAGGGUCGUGGAAUUCCCAGUGUAGAGGUGAAAUUCGUAGAUAUUGGGAAGAACACCGGUGGCGAAGGCGGCGACCUGGUCCUUGACUGACGCUGAGGCGCGAAAGCGUGGGGAGCAAACAGG